AUAGCUUCAUAACCAUCUCCAUCUUCUUCAAUUUGUUUGCCUCUUCUGUCUCUUGGCAAUUUUUUUCCAAGUUUUCUAACUCUUUCUCUUUCAAUUGCUUGAAAUCAUUCCACUCUUCAUUAACGACUUCCAAGCAUGCAUCACCCUUACCUUUUUUUAACUUUCUUUUUAGACGCAUCCCUCCCAUGGGACGAGCACUAGAUCAUACAGAGUUUGAGUCACUUGCAUUAGUAUUGUGAGCUCUCUUAGAUCCACUGCUUCCAGACCCCGUUUUUUCUCCUACCUGACUACUAUAGCGUGGUUGAUCAUGAACAGCGAGUCACUCUAACAUUAAAUUAAAAUACACAUUCUUACCAUUUGAAUAUAGUUCAUGUGCUUUUGCGAAUACAUCAAUCUCUGACCAUCCGCUUUAUUACAUACACUUAGCAUUAUCGUAAGCGCCAAUCCAUUUGCCCAAUAUUUUAUUCACGUAGUUGAAAUGAUUUCUGCACGUAACUCCAUCAUACGGAGGAUCAAAUGAGCAUUGCUGAUUACAAUAUUCAGCAAUUUUACCCCAGUAUGAUUCACUCUUUUGGUUUCUUUCAACAAUGCUAUAUGUUCCAUAUUUAAUUCAUCCACUCAAAAACACCAAAUUUUGCUUAGUUGUCCAUUUGGGGA